rnacentral:misc_RNA from 1 species
GAACGUACCUUGCGCUCCCUGGUAUUCCGGGGAGCAUGCUUGUUUGAGUAUCAGUAAACACCUCAAAACUUUUUUUUAUUUUUUGAAAAACAGUUUUGGACUUGAGCAAUCCCAACACCAAUCUUUUUUAGAUCGGUGGCGGGUUGCUUGAAAUGCAGGUGCAGCUGGACAUUCUCCUGAGCUAAAAGCAUAUUUAUUUAGUCCCGUCAAACGGAUUAUUACUUUUGCUGCAGCUAAUAUAAAGGGAGUUUGACCGUUUUGGCUGACUGAUGCAGGAUUUCACAAGGGUCGGCAACGAUUCUUGUAAAACUCGAUCUCAAAUCAAGUAAGACUACCCGCUGAACUUA